CUACGGGACGCUCCAGUGGGGAAUAUUGCACAAUGGGCGCAAGCCUGAUGCAGCCAUGCCGCGUGUAUGAAGAAGGCCUUCGGGUUGUAAAGUACUUUCAGCGGGGAGGAAGGGAGUAAAGUUAAUACCUUUGCUCAUUGACGUUACCCGCAGAAGAAGCACCGGCAAACUCCGUGCCAGCAGCCGCGGUAAUACGGAGGGUGCAAGCGUUAAUCGGAAUUACUGGGCGUAAAGCGCACGCAGGCGGUUUGUUAAGUCAGAUGUGAAAUCCCCGGGCUCAACCUGGGAACUGCAUCUGAUACUGGCAAGCUUGAGUCUCGUAGAGGGGGGUAGAAUUCCAGGUGUAGCGGUGAAAUGCGUAGAGAUCUGGAGGAAUACCGGUGGCGAAGGCGGCCCCCUGGACGAAGACUGACGCUCAGGUGCGAAAGCGUGGGGAGCAAACAGGAUUAGAUACCCCUGUAGUC
rnacentral:rRNA from 1 species